rnacentral:lncRNA from 1 species
GAACUUCUUAAAUCAAUUUACAAUAAAGUAAAUAAUUAUGAUUGAGAGGAUGGUAUGCAAUAAUGAAAAUGGAAAAGAACUUCAUUAAACUAAAGGAAUGAUUACAACAAGAUGUUUAUAACAUUAAUCCUAAUCAUCCCUAGAUUUCUAUGCUUGGAAAAAGUUUCCCCAAUCUAAAUCCAAUUCCUCUUCUUUAUCUGAAUCGAAAUAAAACUCUUCAUGGUAUCUCCUCUUGGAAUUCUUCUUCUUUCUACUAAUCUUC